UACGUAGGGACCAAGCGUUGUUCGGAUUUACUGGGCGUAAAGGGCGCGUAGUCGGCAAUUCAAGUCAUCUGUGAAAUCUCCGGGCUUAACUCGGAACGGUCAGAUGAUACUGCUUUGCUAGAGUGCGGAAGGGGCAAUCGGAAUUCUUGGUGUAGCGGUGAAAUGCGUAGAUAUCAAGAGGAACACCUGAGGUGAAGACGGGUUGCUGGGCCGACACUGACGCUGAGUGCGCGAAAGCCAGGGGAGCAAACGGG
rnacentral:rRNA from 1 species